UACGUAGGGUGCGAGCGUUGUCCGGAAUUAUUGGGCGUAAAGGGCUCGUAGGCGGUUUGUCGCGUCGGGAGUGAAAACACCGGGCUUAACUCGGUGCUUGCUUUCGAUACGGGCAGACUAGAGGCAUGCAGGGGAGAACGGAAGUUCCUGGUGUAGCGGUGAAAUGCGCAGAUAUCAGGAGGAACACCGGUGGCGAAGGCGGUUCUCUGGGCAUGUCCUGACGCU
rnacentral:rRNA from 1 species